UGGUUUGGCACCUCGAUGUCGGCUCGUCGCAUCCUGGGGCUGGAGUCGGUCCCAAGGGUUGGGCUGUUCGCCCAUUAAAGCGGUACGCGAGCUGGGUUUAGAACGUCGUGAGACAGUUCGGUCCCUAUCCGCUGUGCGCGUAGGAAUAUUGAGAAGGGCUGUCCCUAGUACGAGAGGACCGGGACGGACGAACCUCUGGUGUGCCAGUUGUCCUGCCAAGGGCAUGGCUGGUUGGCUACGUUCGGAAAGGAUAACCGCUGAAAGCAUCUAAGCGGGAAGCCUGCUUCGAGAUGAGUAUUCCCACCCUCUUGAAGGGUUAAGGCUCCCAGUAGACGACUGGGUUGAUAGGCCAGAUGUGGAAGCCCUGUAAGGGGUGGAGCUGACUGGUACUAAUAGGCCGAGGGCUUGUCCUCAGUUG
rnacentral:rRNA from 1 species